AAAUGAAACACGUCCAUGUGGUGUAAUGAAAGAAUAUUGUGACACAUACUGACCUGAAAAGAGUAUAUAUGGUCACUGCUGCUAGAUUGAUCCGGGCGACUGAGGUCGACCAAAGCCCAUGGCUCAUGCUAACUGCGGUGAUUGACUCUAAAGUUACAAGGGGCCAAGAAUAUUUUUUCUCGGUCGUGGAACAGCACGCCGUUGUGAGCGUUCUGCGUGUGUUGUCGCCAAAGAUACGUCGACAUCCCAAGCGUUUUAACCGCCAAGCACUAUGUUGAUCAAGUUCUCAGUUCAAACAAGGAAUGUGUUGGGCGGUAAUGCUGUAAUGCUUAAUUAAGUAUCCUCAUCCCUGGAUGAAUCUCAUCGAUGAUCAUGCUGAACGAAACAAUGGAUAUGUUUUGGACACGGUCGCCCACGGAAGGAGAGAUUCCUCGAUUUGACAGUGACAAUAUAUUGUCCUACCUGGCUUCUCUACGAAAGGACAAAAACGCAACAAGAGGAAGGGAAAGGUUUCGGGAAGGAUACAUACACAACGUCUUUGUUACCAAGCCUAAUGGCAGCGACAGAAUGUACAUAAAAGCAAAAUGCGGACAAAAGACUUAUCAACAUUGUUACGACAUUUGUGUCGAACUGUCCCGGAGCACGGCUGAAGUCGUAAAAGCUGAAUGCACGUGCAAUCCAUACAGGAAACACACCGCGGCCUGCAAACACGUUGUGGGAUUGUUGUACGAAUUUGACGACUUCUGGCGAUCGGGACUUACCGAGCUUCAGCCUCAGUACCAUCCACACGAACACGUGUGUCGGAGAAGGCCGAUCAACAUUCGGGAGAAUUCUCGGUAAACACCGCGAACACUCGGAAUAUUUUUUCUGAAAUCCAAAGAUUGUGAAGAACACUGCUGAUUGUCAAGUAUUUCUGAAAUCAAAGAAUGAAAAUAGUACUUUCGGGGACUUGAUACCUCAAAACUGGACACUCACGUGACAAUGACCAAACUGGUGUAAUACUUGGUAUGUAAUAGUCUAUUUCUGCUAAAGCCGAUUUCGUUAUUUCCCGGAACAUCAAUAUUCAAUAGUCUAAAAUAAGUGAGUGAGGUAAAAUUAAACGUCGGGUCGGCGUUAUUUCAGUUACAUAGGUACGGGAACAUGUUUCUUAGUACAUAGUCAUUUAUUAUUAUUAUUUUGUCACAUAAAAAACUGUCGGGCAAAUAUAGUAUGACCUUGAGGGGGGGGGGGGGGCGAAUGUAUGGAUGCCAACUAAAUACGAUUAACACAACGUUUCGGGGAUAUUCUUACUGCCAUUCAAAUAUUUUAGAAACUUCAUAACUGGAUAUAACGAAAAGUAUUCAAACAUUUUUAUUCAAACGUUAAUUAAUCCCAGAUUACAUACACACACAUAGAGAGAGAGAGAGAGAGAGAGAGAGAGAGAGAGAGAGAGAGAGAGAGAGAG